AAAUUGAAGAGUUUGAUCAUGGCUCAGAUUGAACGCUGGCGGCAGGCCUAACACAUGCAAGUCGAGCGGUAGCACAGAGAGCUUGCUCUCGGGUGACGAGCGGCGGACGGGUGAGUAAUGUCUGGGAAACUGCCUGAUGGAGGGGGAUAACUACUGGAAACGGUAGCUAAUACCGCAUAACGUCGCAAGACCAAAGUGGGGGACCUUCGGGCCUCAUGCCAUCAGAUGUGCCCAGAUGGGAUUAGCUAGUAGGUGGGGUAACGGCUCACCUAGGCGACGAUCCCUAGCUGGUCUGAGAGGAUGACCAGCCACACUGGAACUGAGACACGGUCCAGACUCCUACGGGAGGCAGCAGUGGGGAAUAUUGCACAAUGGGCGCAAGCCUGAUGCAGCCAUGCCGCGUGUGUGAAGAAGGCCUUCGGGUUGUAAAGCACUUUCAGCGGGGAGGAAGGCGGUGAGGUUAAUAACCUCACCGAUUGACGUUACCCGCAGAAGAAGCACCGGCUAACUCCGUGCCAGCAGCCGCGGUAAUACGGAGGGUGCAAGCGUUAAUCGGAAUUACUGGGCGUAAAGCGCACGCAGGCGGUCUGUCAAGUCGGAUGUGAAAUCCCCGGGCUCAACCUGGGAACUGCAUUCGAAACUGGCAGGCUAGAGUCUUGUAGAGGGGGGUAGAAUUCCAGGUGUAGCGGUGAAAUGCGUAGAGAUCUGGAGGAAUACCGGUGGCGAAGGCGGCCCCUGGACAAAGACUGACGCUCAGGUGCGAAAGCGUGGGGAGCAAACAGGAUUAGAUACCCUGGUAGUCCACGCCGUAAACGAUGUCGAUUUGGAGGUUGUGCCCUUGAGGCGUGGCUUCCGGAGCUAACGCGUUAAAUCGACCGCCUGGGGAGUACGGCCGCAAGGUUAAAACUCAAAUGAAUUGACGGGGCCCGCACAAGCGGUGGAGCAUGUGGUUUAAUUCGAUGCAACGCGAAGAACCUUACCUGGUCUUGACAUCCACAGAACUUUCCAGAGAUGGAUUGGUGCCUUCGGGAACUGUGAGACAGGUGCUGCAUGGCUGUCGUCAGCUCGUGUUGUGAAAUGUUGGGUUAAGUCCCGCAACGAGCGCAACCCUUAUCCUUUGUUGCCAGCGGUUCGGCCGGGAACUCAAAGGAGACUGCCAGUGAUAAACUGGAGGAAGGUGGGGAUGACGUCAAGUCAUCAUGGCCCUUACGACCAGGGCUACACACGUGCUACAAUGGCAUAUACAAAGAGAAGCGACCUCGCGAGAGCAAGCGGACCUCAUAAAGUAUGUCGUAGUCCGGAUUGGAGUCUGCAACUCGACUCCAUGAAGUCGGAAUCGCUAGUAAUCGUAGAUCAGAAUGCUACGGUGAAUACGUUCCCGGGCCUUGUACACACCGCCCGUCACACCAUGGGAGUGGGUUGCAAAAGAAGUAGGUAGCUUAACCUUCGGGAGGGCGCUUACCACUUUGUGAUUCAUGACUGGGGUGAAGUCGUAACAAGGUAACCGUAGGGGAACCUGCGGUUGGAUCACCUCCUUA
rnacentral:rRNA from 1 species